UUAUUAUGGAGAGUUUGAUCCUGGCUCAGGACGAACGCUGGCGGCGUGCCUAACACAUGCAAGUCGAACGGGGAUUUUGUUUCGGCAGAAUCCUAGUGGCGAACGGGUGAGUAACGCGUAGGCAACCUGCCCUCCGGCCGGGGACAACACUCCGAAAGGGGUGCUAAUACCGGAUACGAAGUCUGUGCCGCAUGGUACGGA
rnacentral:rRNA from 1 species